CCUACGGGGGGCAGCAGUGAGGAAUAUUGGUCAAUGGGCGGAAGCCUGAACCAGCCAAGUAGCGUGCAGGAUGACGGCCCUACGGGUUGUAAACUGCUUUUAUACGGGAAUAACGCGCCUUACGUGUAGGGCUUUGCAUGUACCGUAUGAAUAAGGACCGGCUAAUUCCGUGCCAGCAGCCGCGGUAAUACGGAAGGUCCGGGCGUUAUCCGGAUUUAUUGGGUUUAAAGGGAGCGUAGGCCGCAUGUCAAGCGUGCUGUGAAAUGUUCGGGCUCAACCCGGGCAUUGCAGGGCGAACUGGCGUGCUUGAGUCCACUGAAGGCAGGCGGAAUUCGUCGUGUAGCGGUGAAAUGCUUAGAUAUGACGAAGAACCCCGAUUGCGAAGGCAGCCUGCUGCAGCGGAACUGACGCUGAUGCUCGAAAGCGCGGGUGUCGAACAGGAUUAGAUACCCCGGUAGUC
rnacentral:rRNA from 1 species